AUCGCAGAGAUGGCUUGGUGCUCGAAAGAGAACCGUAACACAGGUGCUGCAUGGCUGUCGCCAGCUCGUGUCGUGAGAUGUUGGGUUAAGUCCCGCAACGAGCGCAACCCUUGUCAUUAGUUGCUACAUUUGGUUGGGCACUCUAAUGAGACUGCCGGUGACAAACCGGAGGAAGGUGGGGAUGACGUCAAGUCCUCAUGGCCCUUAUAGGUAGGGCUACACACGUCAUACAAUGGAUGGUACAGAGGGUCGCCAACCCGCGAGGGGGAGCUAAUCCCAUAAAACCAUUCGUAGUCCGGAUCGCAGUCUGCAACUCGACUGCGUGAAGUCGGAAUCGCUAGUAAUCGCGGAUCAGAAUGUCGCGGUGAAUACGUUCCCGGGUCUUGUACACACCGCCCGUCACACCAUGGGAGCGGGUUCUGCCAGAAGUAGUUAG
rnacentral:rRNA from 1 species